rnacentral:rRNA from 1 species
UACGGGGGGAGCAAGCGUUGUUCGGAUUUACUGGGCGUAAAGGGCGCGUAGGCGGUCGUGACAAGUCACUUGUGAAAUCUCCGGGCUUAACUCGGAACGGUCAAGUGAUACUGUCGUGCUAGAGUACAGAAGGGGCAACUGGAAUUCUCGGUGUAGCGGUGAAAUUCGUAGAUAUCGAGAGGAACACCGGUGGCGAAGGCGGCGAUCUGGACGAUGACUGACGCUGAGACGCGAAAGCGUGGGGAGCAAACAGG